CUUGAGAGUUUGAUCCUGGCUCAGGAUGAACGCUGGCGGCGUGGAUAAGGCAUGCAAGUCGAACGCCCGCCUAAAUUUUCGCAAGAAAACUUAGGCGGGAGUGGCGAACGGGUUAGUAACACGUAGGAAUCUACCCCCAUCAUGGGCAUAAUCCCGCGAAAGCGGGACUAAUUCCCGAUGGUCCCGCAAGGGUAAAGGUUCCCCGCAAGGGGCGCCGGAUGGGGAGGAGCCUGCGGGCUAUCAGCUUGUUGGUAGGGUUAUGGCCUACCAAGGCGAUGACGGCUAGGGGGCCCGAGAGGGUGUUCCCCAACAACGGCACUGAGACACGGGCCGUACACCUACGGGUGGCAGCAGUCGAGAAUCUUCGGCAAUGGGCGAAAGCCU
rnacentral:rRNA from 1 species